UCCCUGUCACCGAGAGUGGGCGGGCCAUUUCUUGUUCUCCCUCCCGCUCUCGGAAGCUUUCGUCCCGUGGGUGCGAAAGGUAACCGAAGUGGCUCAGGAAGGCAGCUGUCACUGAGCCUCUGGAAGAGAGCGAGAGUAUCGCAGUGGGCAGCAGUCAGUGACAGGUGUAACCUCUGUGGAUGACAGCAACAGUUACUGGAGGAUACGGGGGAAGACUGCCACAGUGUGUGAGAGGGGAACCCCCAUCAAGUGUGGCCAGCCCAUCCGGCUGACACAUGUCAACACUGGCCGAAACCUCCAUAGUCACCACUUCACUUCACCUCUUUCUGGAAACCAGGAAGUGAGUGCUUUUGGUGAGGAAGGUGAAGGUGAUUAUCUGGAUGACUGGACAGUACUCUGUAAUGGACCCUACUGGGUGAGAGAUGGUGAGGUGCGGUUCAAACACUCUUCCACUGAGGUACUGCUGUCUGUCACAGGAGAACAAUAUGGUCGACCUAUCAGUGGGCAAAAAGAGGUGCAUGGCAUGGCCCAGCCAAGUCAGAACAACUACUGGAAAGCCAUGGAAGGCAUCUUCAUGAAGCCCAGUGAGUUGUUGAAGGCAGAAGCCCACCAUGCAGAGCUAUGAAUCUAGAGGCUCUGAGCCACUGUUAAUGCACAAUGUUCACAGACGUCUGUUGCUGCCUCACCUUGGGAUCCCUGUCACAAGUUCCUUGGGCAGUGGCCGUGUUACCAUUGAGAUGAAGAUAUACAACAGAAAAUAGUGGCUGUGUUUGGAAACUUCAGCCCCGCAUACUUGAACUAGUCACUCUCCCAGAUUUGCGUGGGUCAGUUCUUUCUGAGUAGAGGACUUGCUGGUAAAGGGGCAGAUGCUUUUUAUUCAUACUGAUAAACUGAGGGGAACAUCCCUCUUAGCUGGGAAACUUUUUACUCUUCAGGAGCUUGGCAUCAUGGACUGUUUAUGUGAUUUUUCCCCUAUUUUCUCUCUCCAAAAUGAUAAAAACAAUAAUUUUAUUAUGA
rnacentral:sRNA from 1 species